CCAAAGCCUGGUGUAGGUAGGAGAACCCGCUGAACUGAAGCAUCUCAAUA
rnacentral:rRNA from 1 species